UUUUAUGGGGUGACUGCGUACCUUUUGUAUAAUGGGUCAGCGACUUAUAUUCUGUAGCAAGGUUAACCGAAUAGGGGAGCCGAAGGGAAACCGAGUCUUAACCGGGCGUUAAGUUGCAGGGUAUAGACCCGAAACCCGGUGAUCUAGCCAUGGGCAGGUUGAAGGUUGGGUAACACUAACUGGAGGACCGAACCGACUAAUGUUGAAAAAUUAGCGGAUGACUUGUGGCUGGGGGUGAAAGGCCAAUCAAACCGGGAGAUAGCUGGUUCUCCCCGAAAGCUAUUUAGGUAGCGCCUCGUGAAUUCAUCUCCGGGGGUAGAGCACUGUUUCGGCAAGGGGGUCAUCCCGACUUACCAACCCGAUGCAAACUGCGAAUACCGGAGAAUGUUAUCACGGGAGACACACGGCGGGUGCUAACGUCCGUCGUGAAGAGGGAAACAACCCAGACCGCCAGCUAAGGUCCCAAAGUCAUGGUUAAGUGGGAAACGAUGUGGGAAGGCCCAGACAGCCAGGAUGUUGGCUUAGAAGCAGCCAUCAUUUAAAGAAAGCGUAAUAGCUCACUGGUCGAGUCGGCCUGCGCGGAAGAUGUAACGGGGCUAAACCAUGCACCGAAGCUGCGGCAGCGACACUGUGUGUUGUUGGGUAGGGGAGCGUUCUGUAAGCCUGUGAAGGUGUGCUGUGAGGCAUGCUGGAGGUAUCAGAAGUGCGAAUGCUGACAUAAGUAACGAUAAAGCGGGUGAAAAGCCCGCUCGCCGGAAGACCAAGGGUUCCUGUCCAACGUUAAUCGGGGCAGGGUGAGUCGACCCCUAAGGCGAGGCCGAAAGGCGUAGUCGAUGGGAAACAGGUUAAUAUUCCUGUACUUGGUGUUACUGCGAAGGGGGGACGGAGAAGGCUAUGUUGGCCGGGCGACGGUUGUCCCGGUUUAAGCGUGUAGGCUGGUUUUCCAGGCAAAUCCGGAAAAUCAAGGCUGAGGCGUGAUGACGAGGCACUACGGUGCUGAAGCAACAAAUGCCCUGCUUCCAGGAAAAGCCUCUAAGCAUCAGGUAACAUCAAAUCGUACCCCAAACCGACACAGGUGGUCAGGUAGAGAAUACCAAGGCGCUUGAGAGAACUCGGGUGAAGGAACUAGGCAAAAUGGUGCCGUAACUUCGGGAGAAGGCACGCUGAUAUGUAGGUGAAGUCCCUCGCGGAUGGAGCUGAAAUCAGUCGAAGAUACCAGCUGGCUGCAACUGUUUAUUAAAAACACAGCACUGUGCAAACACGAAAGUGGACGUAUACGGUGUGACGCCUGCCCGGUGCCGGAAGGUUAAUUGAUGGGGUCAGCGCAAGCGAAGCUCUUGAUCGAAGCCCCGGUAAACGGCGGCCGUAACUAUAACGGUCCUAAGGUAGCGAAAUUCCUUGUCGGGUAAGUUCCGACCUGCACGAAUGGCGUAAUGAUGGCCAGGCUGUCUCCACCCGAGACUCAGUGAAAUUGAACUCGCUGUGAAGAUGCAGUGUACCCGCGGCAAGACGGAAAGACCCCGUGAACCUUUACUAUAGCUUGACACUGAACAUUGAGCCUUGAUGUGUAGGAUAGGUGGGAGGCUUUGAAGUGUGGACGCCAGUCUGCAUGGAGCCGACCUUGAAAUACCACCCUUUAAUGUUUGAUGUUCUAACGUGGACCCGUGAUCCGGGUUGCGGACAGUGUCUGGUGGGUAGUUUGACUGGGGCGGUCUCCUCCUAAAGAGUAACGGAGGAGCACGAAGGUUGGCUAAUCCUGGUCGGACAUCAGGAGGUUAGUGCAAUGGCAUAAGCCAGCUUGACUGCGAGCGUGACGGCGCGAGCAGGUGCGAAAGCAGGUCAUAGUGAUCCGGUGGUUCUGAAUGGAAGGGCCAUCGCUCAACGGAUAAAAGGUACUCCGGGGAUAACAGGCUGAUACCGCCCAAGAGUUCAUAUCGACGGCGGUGUUUGGCACCUCGAUGUCGGCUCAUCACAUCCUGGGGCUGAAGUAGGUCCCAAGGGUAUGGCUGUUCGCCAUUUAAAGUGGUACGCGAGCUGGGUUUAGAACGUCGUGAGACAGUUCGGUCCCUAUCUGCCGUGGGCGCUGGAGAACUGAGGGGGGCUGCUCCUAGUACGAGAGGACCGGAGUGGACGCAUCACUGGUGUUCGGGUUGUCAUGCCAAUGGCACUGCCCGGUAGCUAAAUGCGGAAGAGAUAAGUGCUGAAAGCAUCUAAGCACGAAACUUGCCCCGAGAUGAGUUCUCCCUGACCCUUUAAGGGUCCUGAAGGAACGUUGAAGACGACGACGUUGAUAGGCCGGGUGUGUAAGCGCAGCGAUGCGUUGAGCUAACCGGUACUAAUGAACCGUGAGGCUUAACCUUACAACGCCGAAGGUGUUU
rnacentral:rRNA from 1 species